UACGAAGGGGGCUAGCGUUGCUCGGAAUCACUGGGCGUAAAGGGUGCGUAGGCGGGUCUUUUAAGUCAGGGGUGAAAUCCUGGAGCUCAACUCCAGAACUGCCUUUGAUACUGGAGAUCUUGAGUUCGGGAGAGGUGAGUGGAACUGCGAGUGUAGAGGUGAAAUUCGUAGAUAUUCGCAAGAACACCAGUGGCGAAGGCGGCUCACUGGCCCGAUACUGACGCUGAGGCACGAAAGCGUGGGGAG
rnacentral:rRNA from 1 species